rnacentral:rRNA from 1 species
CCUACGGGUGGCUGCAGUGGGGAAUAUUGCACAAUGGGCGCAAGCCUGAUGCAGCCAUGCCGCGUGUGUGAAGAAGGCCUUCGGGUUGUAAAGCACUUUCAGCGGGGAGGAAGGCGUUAAGGUUAAUAACCUUGGCGAUUGACGUUACCCGCAGAAGAAGCACCGGCUAACUCCGUGCCAGCAGCCGCGGUAAUACGGAGGGUGCAAGCGUUAAUCGGAAUUACUGGGCGUAAAGCGCACGCAGGCGGUCUGUCAAGUCGGAUGUGAAAUCCCCGGGCUCAACCUGGGAACUGCAUUCGAAACUGGCAGGCUAGAGUCUUGUAGAGGGGGGUAGAAUUUCAGGUGUAGCGGUGAAAUGCGUAGAGAUCUGGAGGAAUACCGGUGGCGAAGGCGGCCCCCUGGACAAAGACUGACGCUCAGGUGCGAAAGCGUGGGGAGCAAACAGGAUUAGAUACCCUGUAGUC